AUUUUUUUUUUUUUUUAUUCAAACAAAAAUAAAUUGUGUAUUUGAUAUUAAAAAAAAAAAAAAAAUUAAAACCAAUAAUAGAUACAAAUAAUUUCUAAAUAGUAUUAGGACUGUGUUACUACUACUUAAAUUCAAAGUAAAUUUUUAAUUAUUACUUUAUUAAAUAAAAAAUAAUUUACAGAAGUUUUUGAUAUCCCCAAGUAUAUAAAAAAAAUAGUAACAAUUAUUGACACGUUUCUAUUCACGCAGUUUUGUUUACAGAAAAAAAAAAAGAAAAAUAUUGAAUAAUAACUGAAACCCAGUUUCUGUGAAAAAUCAGAAACGUGUGUGGUAGUAUUUAUUAGUGUGACGUGGAUUUCUUAUAAACUGCGCUCGGCAUAAAAUGCACAGCCACUUUACUUUGUAAAAAAAAAAAAAGUUGAAUGUGUUUUAAUUGUUUAUUAUAUAGUGUUAUGUUGUGAGAAUGAGUAAGUACUUAAUGCUCAUGUAUACUGUAUAUGAUAAAGUAAACUUUAUGUUAUUCUAUAUCUCUAAAUAGCGUGUUUUUAGGUAAAAAUGUAAAAUGCCGACUGAUAUCUCAGAUGACAUGGCCCAGUUCUAAAAUCUUCGGUAUGUUUUGCAUUUUUUUUUAAAUACAAUUAUAAGCAUAAUGAAUAAGGUUUCAUUAAUACUAACCAAAUAGAUUUAGCAAAUUUAUUAUUAUUGUAAAAAAUUAUAUUACUCUAAAUCAUCUAACACAAUUAUCUAUCAUUACAUUAUUUUUAUUGACUAUGUAUUAAGUACGUAUGUAUGAUGUAUAAUUCAAGGUAAGAAUAAUAUUAUUUGUUUUAUUAUAAUAUAAUAAUAUACAAAACGGUGCACAAUAUCAAAUAUUUUAACUAAGAUAUUUGAUUAAA